rnacentral:lncRNA from 1 species
AGCAUGAACUUUUUGAUGUACAAUGAAUGUAUGAAGAAAAGAAUGUUAAUGGAAUUAGUUUUUACUGCUAAAGAUUUAGGAAGAGUUUUACAUGGAGAGAUUUCUGCGACACUAUACGAAGAAUUGAAUUGAACUGAAUCUUCAGUGAUAUUCCACACAUCAGUGAGAAGAAACUCAGCAAAGAACAGCUGAUGCACUGCAAUACGAAUGUUAAAUGAAUUCCUGUUUUAAUUUUAAAUG